CAGCCCACACUACAACAGCCAAUGCCACCACAACUGCAGCUGGUACUACAACAGCAGUUGCCACUACAACUUCCCCUGUCACCACAACUGCAGCCCACACUACAACAGCCAAUGCCACCACAACUGCAGCUGGUACCUCAACAGCAGUUGCCACUACAACUUCCCCUGCAACCACAACUGCAGCCCACACUUCAACAAUUUCUGCCACCACAACUGCAGUCACUCUUACGACAGAGGCUGCUACUACAACUGCAGCUGCUACUACAACUUCACCUAUCACCACAACUGCAGCCCACACUACAACAGCCAAUGCCACCACAACUGCAACUGGUACCUCAACAUCAGUUGCCACUACAACUUCCCCUAUAACCACAACUGCAGCCCACACUACAACAGCUU
ensembl:lncRNA